AGGGCGCACAGUGGAUGCCUUGGCACUAGAAGCCGAUGAAGGACGCGACGAACAGCGAAAUGCUACGGGGAGCCGUAAGUAGGCAGAGAUCCGUAGGUGUCCGAAUGGGGGAACCCACUAGCUUCGGCUAGUACCAUGUGGUGAAUACAUAGCCACAUCGGAGGAAAACCUGGGGAACUGAAACAUCUUAGUACCCAGAGGAAAAGAAAGCAAUAGCGAUUCCCUAAGUAGAGGCGAUUGAACGGGGAACAGCCCAGACACCGUAUAGGAGUUACAAAACAUCAUCAUAGUAGAAUUGUAUUGGAAAAGCAAACCAAAGAGGGUGAAAGUCCCGUACACGAAAUGGUGAUGUCUCCGGUGUCGAAGAGUAAGGCGGAGCACGAGGAAUUCUGUCUGAAGAUGCGAGGACCAUCUCGUAAGGCUAAAUACUCUCUAGUGACCGAUAGUGAACCAGUACUGUGAAGGAAAGGUGAAAAGAACCCCUGGCGGGGAGUGAAAAAGAACCUGAAACUGUGUGCCUACAAAUAGUUAGAGCCCGUUAAUGGGUGAUAGCGUGCCUUUUGUAGAAUGAGCCGGCGAGUUACGUUAGUUUGCAAGGUUAAGCUUUAAGGAGUGGAGCCGUAGCGAAAGCGAGUCUUAAUAGGGCGAAUUAGUAGGCUGACGUAGACCCGAAACCGAGUGAUCUAUCCAUGAGCAGGUUGAAGCUUGGGUAAAACCAGGUGGAGGACCGAACCAGGGUCUGUUGAAAAAGACUUGGAUGACUUGUGGAUAGGGGUGAAAUUCCAAUCGAACUCGGAGAUAGCUGGUUCUCCCCGAAAUAGCUUUAGGGCUAGCGUUGUGGCAGAGUUAUAUGGAGGUAGAGCACUGAAUGUGUGAUGGCCUCACCUCGAGGUACUGAUCCCAAUCAAACUCCGAAUGCCAUAUAACAUACACAGCAGUCAGACUAUGGGUGCUAAGGUCCAUGGUCGAAAGGGAAACAGCCCAGACCACCAGUUAAGGUCCCGAAAUUCAUGCUAAGUGGGAAAGGAUGUGGAGUCGCAUAGACAACUAGGAGGUUGGCUUAGAAGCAGCCAUCCUUCAAAGAGUGCGUAAUAGCUCACUAGUCGAGUGAUUCUGCGCCGAAAAUGUAUCGGGGCUAAGCAUGAUACCGAAACUGUGGAAUUACAGUAAUGUAAUUGGUAGGGGAGCGUACUUAACGCGCCGAAGGUUGACCGUGAGGACAGCUGGAGCGUUAAGCAGUGAGAAUGCCGGUGUGAGUAGCGAUAAGACGGGUGAGAAUCCCGUCCGUCAGAAGCCUAAGGUUUCCAGGGGUAAGGUUCGUCCGCCCUGGGUUAGUCGGGCCCUAAGGUCAGGCUGAAGAGCGUAGCCGAUGGACAACAGGUUGAUAUUCCUGUACCACUAUUAUAACAGAUGGAGUGACGGAGGAGGCUAGCCUGGGCCAGUCAGUGGAUAUGAUUGGUUUAAGCUCAAAGAGGUUCACGUAGGCAAAUCCGCGUGAUAACACCUUGAAGAGUGACGAGGCAACUUGGGUGAAGCCACACUUCCAAGAAAAGCUUCUAUGGUUAAUUAUAAUAGUGCCCGUACCGUAAACCGACACAGGUGGGCGAGGAGAGAAUCCAAAGACGCGCGAGAUAACUCUUGUUAAGGAACUCGGCAAAAUGACCCCGUAACUUCGGGAUAAGGGGGACUCUAGCGAUAGAGUCGCAGAAAAUAGGCCCAAGCGACUGUUUAUCAAAAACACAGGUCUCUGCUAAACCGCAAGGUGAAGUAUAGGGGCUGACGCCUGCCCGGUGCUGGAAGGUUAAGAGGAGAUGUUAGGAGCAAUCCAAAGCAUUGAAUUGAAGCCCCAGUAAACGGCGGCCGUAACUAUAACGGUCCUAAGGUAGCGAAAUUCCUUGUCGGGUAAGUUCCGACCCGCACGAAAGGCGUAACGUUUUGGGCGCUGUCUCAACAAGAGACUCGGUGAAAUCAUAGUACCUGUGAAGAUGCAGGUUACCCGCGACUAGACGGGAAGACCCCAUGGAGCUUCACUGCAACUUAAUAUUGAUACUGGGUAUGUGAUGUACAGGAUAGGUGGGAGACUGAGAAACGAGCACGCCAGUGUUCGGGGAGUCGCCCUUUGGAUACCACCCUUCGCAUAUCUAGUAUCUAACUAGUGCCCGUGAUCCGGGCAUAGGACAGUGUUUGGUGGGCAGUUUGACUGGGGCGGUCGCCUCCCAAAGAGUAACGGAGGCGCCCAAAGGUUCCCUCAGAAUGGUUGGAAAUCAUUCAUAGAGUGUAAAGGCAGAAGGGAGCUUGACUGCGAGACCUACAAGUCGAGCAGGAACGAAAGUUGGGCUUAGUGAACCGGCUACGCUGAAUGGAAAGGUAGUCGAUCAACGGAUAAAAGCUACCCUGGGGAUAACAGGCUGAUCUCCCCCAAGAGUUCACAUCGACGGGGAGGUUUGGCACCUCGAUGUCGGCUCAUCGCAUCCUGGGGCCGGAGAAGGUCCCAAGGGUUGGGCUGUUCGCCCAUUAAAGCGUUACGUGAGCUGGGUUCAGAACGUCGUGAGACAGUUCGGUCCCUAUCUGUCGUGGGCGUUGGAAAUUUGAGAGGAGUUGCUCUUAGUACGAGAGGACCAGAGUGAACACACCACUGGUGUACCAGUUGGCCUGCCAGGGCCACAGCUGGGUAGCUACGUGUGGACGGGAUAAACGCUGAAAGCAUCUAAGCGUGAAGCCCCCCUCAAGAUGAGAUUUCCCAUUCGU
rnacentral:rRNA from 1 species